GGACCCAUAGCAUAGCCUGGUUGGUGCGUCCGGCUGAUAACCGGAAGGUCUAGAGUUCAAAUCUCUGUGGGUCCA
rnacentral:tRNA from 2 species